UGGAAAUAAUCGCAAACGCCGAUGUUCUCAAUAUGGAAUGUUUUAAAUCUUACGUGCUAUUUCUGUUUAAAUAGAACCAUAAUACACACGAUUAUAUGCGAUGAACGGUGCUCGCCAUAUACUGAUCGUUACGGUUUGUACGGUAUACUAUACAAUUAUAGACCUCCCUAAAGUACCUACCUAGUGAGAUUCUCUAUCAGAAACAAGUGCUAUCGUUAUAAAUCGGAGCGAAAUUGU